rnacentral:lncRNA from 1 species
UUCAAUCAACAACAAGAUUUACACAAACAUGUAGGAAAAGGAUGGAUGCCUUUGCACCUUGACAUGUGUCCAAGCUUGGCUGUACCUAUUGCCUAAAGUGCUGCAAAUGCUAUCCAAAGAUAAUUAUUAUUGAGAAUCAAAUAUUAGUAUAAUCGUUUCAUACAUUUAACGGCUAUAAUAUUCAAAUGUUCAACCAAUAUUUAUAAUCAAUUUUUCUAUUCUCAAAUUAACACCUAUUUGUUACCUCUACAUUAGAAGUGGCAAACGGCCGAAUUCGGACCGGUUGAAAUUGGUGAAUUUUUAGAUUUAAAGUUCAGUCCGAAAAGUAGGAGGAUUUAGGUAAAAAUAUAAGCUUAAAAAAUAGGUUUGAGUAAAAGAUACGACCCGUUUAAAAAACGGGUCAAGCCUCAGAUAAGGCAUUUUAGUCCGGACCUAACCCACCCGAAUUCACAAAAAGACAAAAAAAUUCUACUAUUUUUUUGUUGUUUUCUUGUUGUUCUCUUUCUAUUUUGCUACCAUUUCACUAUUAUGUUACUACUAUUUUGUCGUUAUU